rnacentral:pre_miRNA from 1 species
AGGAGGAACCCCAGUGGCAGAGGCCAGCUCAGGAAACCUGGAUUCAGCCCCGCAGUAACUAUGGAGCUCUCCUUCUGCAGGGCCUGGAGGCACCGGGGCAGG